GAGCACCAGUCAAUUAAAAAAAAUAGCCCCUGCUCAUUGCUGGCCUAGCAACCCGAAAGACAGUUUCAUCUAUCAAGUAGGAAAUAAGGUACCACUUAUAAAGUGGGGAGGCAAAUUUAACUAAUUUACGACGUUGGAAUGAGGAAGUGCCAUCACAGUGGAUGAUGAAGCAGCUGCUCCCCCUGUGGUCAGAAUCGAACAUCCCCUCAGGAGAAGGUUAAAUUGCCUCUGUGUCUGUCUCUGUCUCGGUUCUAUGUGUAUAUGGGCCUUAUAUGUAUACAAUGUGAUCUGCCCUGAGUCCUCUUCGGGACACAUAUAAGGCAAACAUUCAAUGCCAUAUAACAUAGAACAGAGACAGAGACAGACACAGAGGCAAUUUAAACCUUCUCCAGCUUCCAGCUUCCUGAGGGUAUGCUUGAUUCCGGCCACAGGGGGAGCAGCUGUUUCAUCAUCCACUGCGACGGAAACUUCCUCAUUCCUACGGCGGCUGGGUGAUUUUUAUGGUGUCAUAAAUUAGCCUCCCCACAUAUAAGUGGUACCUAAAUUUCCUACUUGAUAGAUGCAACUAUCUUUCGGGUUGCUUAGGUCAACAACGAGCAGGGGCUAUAUUUUUAUUUUAAUUGUCGGGUGCUCACCCCGACAUGGGCUGGCCUCGAACUCAUGACCUCUUGGUCAGAGUGAUUUAUUGGUUGCUAACCAGCCUGCACCACAGCCUGGCCCCUUUUGUUGUAUUCACUAAUGAGGCAGUGUUGUUCAAUGAUAAUGUGACUCUGUAGCCAUCAAUUUACAUUCUGUCUCCUCUGUGUAGGGCCAUGACCAAAGUUCAAUACUUUCUAGAUAUUGCAUUAUAUAUAUCACCAGAAGAUGCAAACAUUUGUAGCUAAAGAACAAGGGGAUUGUGUUGAAAUUUCACUUGGCAAAACCUUGGGUUUCCCUGCAGUGAUUCUGGGACAAAAAAAGGCUCAUACUAUUUUUUAAAAAAGAAGAAGCUAAGUUUUAACCACAUUCUUUUCCUCCCCAAACACAACUGAUAUUUCUUAACUGCCACUACAAAAUCCAUUUAUCCUCAGUCCAGCUGCUGCGGGCGCUGCCUCUCUUAAGUGGAUAGAGUCAACAAUAUUCAGGUAAAUAAUGGAGAGCAUUCCCAGAUAGUAUUAACACAAUUGAUUUAUUGAUGAAUGUACAAUGGAAGGUUAUCUUUUGUUAAUUGACUCAGUAAAUAAGCACAAAAACGUCACUGGAAUGAACACACACAUCCAUCCAUUAGGAUUUGGAAGGGGCGGGAAGCUUAAAAGCAACUUUAAAGUCAUUGGUAGUAUUUUCCCCAACAUAGAAAGCCUUCACAAAAGUCGACGGGAACAUGGCUUGCACCUUCUUAAGUGUAAUUAAGGUAAAACAAAACUUAGCAGUGAAACACUUCCCGCUGCAUUGAUAUGAGUGUAUUUGCAUCACAAGAUUACAGCAGAUUGAUGCCACUUUCACUACACUUCACCAUGUACAAUGGAGGGCGCACGUACACCCUAGAAAGAAUGCAAUUCGACACCGAUAUAGCUGUUAUUGACCCAAUGCUAUGGAAUCAUGGAAGUUGUAGAUUGGUGAGGCACCAUCACUCUUUGGCUAAAGACAUUAUAAAUCUACAGCUCUCAUGAUUCCAUAGCAUCAAGCCAUUGCAGUUAAAGUGGUGCCAAGAUGCAUUUGUUGUACAGCAUAGCUGAACACUAGACCAAAAAAGCACCUUCUUAAAAGCUUUUCCAUUGUAAACCCAGCCCAGUAAUACAGGACACCAAUACAUAUGAUUUUAGAAGAACUUGUUGAAGUUAAAUUUGAAAUGAAACCUGAACUCUGUCUGCUUGGGAUGUUAGAUGACCAACUUGAUGGAAAAUGCGGAAGGUUAUUACGGCAGCAAGAAUGGUCUCUGUUCAAAGAUGGAAAGACUCCACAAUUCCAACAGGAGACAAUUGGCUUAUAAAAAUAACCGAACUUGCGGAAAUGGAUAAACAUAACAUACUAUGUUGAUUAAGGAGAAAUCUCUAACUAGCUUGAAGAAAGAUUGGGACCCAUUUAUUGUAUCCCUCCAUCAAAGAUGGGGGUCUUAGAAGAGUGUUCUUAUGUGGGGAAAGGAUGCAUCAGUGGUUGUUUUUUACUUAAUGGGUGUAGAAAAUGGAGUGAAUAUCACCAACAGACAGAGAAUGUAAAAACCUUAGAUGAGAUAAUGUAAAUUGUAUGUACCAUAUAUACUCGAGUAUAAGCCAACCUGAAUAUAAGUCGAGGCAUAUAAUUUUACCCCCCAAAACUGGGAAAACAUUGACUCCAGUAUAAGCCGAGAGUGCUAAAUUUCAGAAAUAAAGAUAGAUACAGUAGAGUCUCACUUAUCCAACACUCGCUUACCCAAUGUUCUGGAUUAUCCAACACAUUUUUGUAGUCAAUGUUUUCAAUACAUCGUGAUAUUUUGGUACUAAAUUCGUAAAUACAGUAAUUACUACAUAGCAUUACUGCGUAUUGAACGAUUUUUUCUAUCAAAUUUGUUGUAUAACGUGAUGUUUUGGUGCUUAAUUUGUAAAAUCAUAAUCUAAUUUGAUGUUUAAUAGGCUUCUCCUUAAUUUCUCCUUAUUAUCCAACAUAUUCACUUAUCCAACGUUCUGCCGGCCCGUUUAUGUUGGAUAAGUGAGACUCUACUGUACCAAUAAAAUUACAUUAAUUGAGGCAUCAGUAGGUUAAAUGUUUUUGAAUAUUUACAUCAAGCUCAAAUUUAAGAUAAGACUGUCCAACUCUGAUCAAAUCAUGAUUCUCAUCUUCUUCAAUGUAAAUGUGCUUAUGUAUCCUUUUAAUAAUAAUAGAGCAAAAUAAUACAUGUAAUAACAAUAAUAAUAAAUACAGGAAAAUAAUACAAGUAAUAAUAAAUAGAGUAAAAUAAUAAGUGCAAUAACAAUAAUAUCAGAGUGAAAUAAUAAGUGUAUUAAUAAUAAUAAAAUAGAGUAAAAUAAAUGUAAUAGUAGCAACAAUAAUAGAGAAAAAGAAUAAAUGUAAUAAUACCAAUAAUAAUAGAGAAAAAUAAUAAAUGUACCAUAUAUUCUUGAGUAUAAGCUGACCCAAAUAUAAGCCAACCAGGACCCUCACCCGAGUAUAAGCCGAGGGGGGCUUUUUCAGUCUUAAAAAAAAGAGCUGAAAAACUAGGCUUAUACUCGAGUAUAUACAGUAGUUAAAUGUUUUUUGAUGCUUAGAAUGUUGUAGUAAUAUGCUUUUGCAAGCAUGGUUGGUGGGGAUGAGGUACAGGGCCUUCUCAGUGGUGGCCCCUCGGCUGUGGAACUCCCUCCCUAGCAACAUCAGAUCAGCCCCCUCCCUUUUAGAUUUCAGAAGGAAAGCAAAAGCAUGGCUUUGGGAUCAGGCUUUCAGUAAUUAGUAUGGUGCAAUAAUAGACUUGGAAUUAUGUAUAAUUGACAACAGAACGGCCUUGGACUAUGAUUUUUGGAUGAUGUGAUUUUAAUACUGAAUGUAAAUAUUUAAAUAUUUAAUAUGUAUUGAUAUUUAAUUUUAAUUGAUUGUGUGUAUUUUAAGACAUCUAAUGCUUGCUAUAUGUAAGCCGUCUUGAGUCCCCUUUGGGGUAGAGAAAGGCGGGGUAGAAAUAAGGAAAAUAAAUACAUUUUCUUUUAUUCUAGAAAAAAAUUGUAACUUUUUGUUUCUUUGUUUUGGGCAGCCACCAAGAAGGCCUUGCUCCACAUUCCAACCAGCCUUCGAAAAUGGUAGAACUCAGAGAAGGGUCUCCCCUAAAUAUCGAGACUAGCUUGUAUGUGGAGGAACAGACUGGCAACCAGUGUAGCUGUUGCAUGGUCUUUGAGUGAAUGAGGCUUUCAGAAAUAUGCCUGAAGAAUUUCCAUGGAAGGGAUGGAGAAAAUGUAGCAAGACGAGAAAGGGAGAGGGCCUGCAGUCUCUCUCCGCUGGGGCUGGAUCUGAUCCCAAAAAACUAGUGCCAGGUAAAAUCAUGACAAGAAAACCAGAAUUCUCAAAAGUCCAUGCUUGGCAUUCAACAAUUGCUGUGUUUUGAACAAGCUCUGAAGCCCUCAGCCCAAUCUAUCAGCCACAUUCAUUCAUUGAAGAAUACCGGGAUUAUGUAAUUCAGAAGUGAGGAUUAUCCAGACCUCCAGAUGUGGUUGAGCGGCAAUUCCUAGCAUUCCCCAACAUGUGUUCAAAUUAUUUUGUGUCCAUGAGCAUUAAUAAAAAUCAUUUUGUUGUAAAGAAGAAGAGGUAUUGAAGAAAUCCUCUCAAAGUGUUAAGUAUACUAGGUGUGCCAGCGUUUCAACUGUGCUACCACAUCAAUGCGGAGAUUCAUGCUAUACAAACUCAAGACCUCAGCUUAUGAAACAGCCCAAGUCAGUUCUUUCAUGCCACCUCCUCCCUUCUCACCUUCAGACAGCACCGGCUUCCCCAAUAGACUCUUCUCACUUUUCCCAAACCUGGGCAAACCUCCCACCUUGAGAGCUUAUUAUGUCUGGCCUCUGCGAAAGCUCAGUCUAACUAAUACCGUCAACCUGGAUUUUGUAUGAUUAGUUAGUGAAAACUUGCCAACUGGAGUUUGUCGGCUGCCAAGUCAAGUCAAUUUACUGUGAUGCUUGGGUGCUGGUAGAAUAACUUAAUCCCUCUUUAAUCUCCACAGUGCCCUUGACAUCCUGGAAUUUAAUUACAAAGUGACUGUCAUUGGAUGAGCCCUGCUAACUGUUUUGGUGAAACGUCUUCUCCGCCACCUUUCUUCCUUCUCUCCCACAACGUUGGCUUAUCAUGUGGCUUCCCCUCCAUAUUUUUAGCCUCAUGUAAGGUUAUCGUUUUCCAAAAUAUCUAUGGUGGGAAGACGGAGAGCAAAGGGGUGGAGAGAAAGAGAGUAAAGGAAAACGAGCCUUCUGCUUCAUUACAACUCAUCACAGGCCUGGUGUGAUUUGGGGUUUCCGUGCUACCCAAGUAUUAGGGGACAUGUAUUAUAUUUCAAGUUAGACCAACUGCAUAGAGAUAUUUACAUAGCAGAAACCACAAAACAGCUCCGCAUUAUUUGGAAGGGGCCAAGGAUGCCCUUUUAAACUCAUCCCCUGUCCCAUAGAAAAGGAGGCAGAACAUUUCUAAAAAGGAACAAGACCACCAGCCCAUGGUGCAGAAGAAAGAAAAUACGUAAACAGAUAUCCAAAUAGAUAAACACCUGCCACAUAACAUACUAGAUUUAACAAUGGUGGAAAAGGAUCAUGUUUUUAUUAUAGAAGUUGCAGUACCAGAAGACAGCAGAGUAGAGGACACAGAGCUGGAAAAGGUCAUGAAAUGCAAGGACUUCCAAAUGGAAAUUGGACGACUAUGGCUGAAGAGAACAACAGUGGUACCAAUAGUGGUUGGUGCGCUUGGAGGCACUCCAAGAAACCUUGAAAAGCACAGGAAAAGCCUUAAUUUGGACAGAAUCCACAGGCUGCAGAAGAAAGGCAGCAUUUCUCAGAACUGCACACAUUCUGCGAAAAUACAUUUAAUAUCCUAUGCCCUUGGGAAGAGCCCUAUAUUCAGAGACAAAGCCCAGACACUUGGGCCGAAUGUGCAUGUGUACAUGUAAAAUAAUAAUAAUAAUAAUAAUAAUAAUAAUAAUAAUAAUAAUAAUAAUAAUAAUAAUAAUAAUUUUUAAAUUGCUAUCACUACAUUUUAUUGAAUUUCUUUAAAUUGAGUUGGGUUUUACUUUAGUAUUGUUUAUUCUUUGAUAUUCUGCUGUUAUUAAUUGUUUAUAUUUUUCUUGUAUUUUAUGUGUUAUGGCACUAAUAUGUGCUGUUUCGCAAACCAUCCUGAGUCCCUUUAGGAGAUGGUGGUGGGAUAUAAAUAAAGAUAAUAAUAAUGAUAAUAAUAAUAAUAAUAAUAAUAAUAAUAAUAAUAAUAAUAAUAAAUAUUUUUAAUAUCCUAGGCCCUUUGGAAGAGCUCAAUAUUCAGAGACGAACCCCAGACACUUGGACCUAAUGUGCAUGUGUGCUGUGUUGUUAUGUACAUGGAAAUAAAUAAAUAAUAAUAUAUAAUAUAAUAAUGUGGAGCCGCCGGUGAGCACCAGGUUCAGUCAAACUAACAGUUCGAAAACAUGCAAAUGUGAGUAGCUCAAUAGGUACCGGUCCAGCGGGAAGGUAACGGCGCUUCAUGCAGUCAUGCCUGCCACAUGACCUUGGAGGUGUCUACGGACAAUGCUGGCUCUUUGGUUUAGUAUGGAGAUGAGCACAAACCCCCAGAGUCAGACAUGACUGGACUUAACAGCAGGGGAAAACCUUUAUCGAUAACAUAAUAUACUACUACUACUACUACUACUACUACUAAUAAUAAUAAUAAUAAUAAUAAUAAUAAUAAUAAAUACCUCUAAUAUCCUAGGCCCUUGGGAAGAGCCCAAUAUUCAGACAUAAAGCCCAGACACUUGGACCUAAUGUGCAUGUGUGCUGUGUUGUUAUAUACAUGUAAAUAAAUAAAUAAUAAUAUAUAAUAUAAUAAUGUGGAGCCCCCGGUGAGCACCCACUGUUAGCUCCAGCUUCUGCCAACCUAGCAGUUCGAAAACAUGCAAAUGUGAGUAGCUCAAUAGUUACCGCCCCAGCGGGAAGGUAACGGCGCUUCAUGCAGUCAUGCCAGUGGCCACAUGACCUUCGAGGAGUAUACGGACAACGCUGGCUCUUUGGCUUAGUAAUGGAGAUGAGCACAAACCCCCAGAGUCAGACAUGAUUGGACUUAACAUCAGGGGAAAACCUUUAUCGAUAAUAUAAUAUACUAGCUGUGCCCAGCCACGCAUUGCUGUGGCGAAGUAUGGUGGUAUGGGAAAUAAAGUAUUGAGGAAUUGGUGGUAGUUAAGGUAAAGGGUAAAGGAUUUCCCCUGACAUUAAGUUCAGUCAUGUCCGACUUUGGGGGUUGGUGUUCAUAAAGCAGAUAAUAUGAGAUUCUAAAUGGGUUAUAUAGCUGUGUGGAAAGGCCUUGAGUUUACACUACCAUAUAAUCCAGUUCAAAUCUGAUAAUCUGUAUUUUAUAGGCAGUGUGGAAGAGGCCUAAGUAAGACCUAACUCUGCCUGUCCCCUGGGCUGAUUGGGUUGCUAGGAGACUAAGUGGGCGGAGCUUAGCCUUCUAACUGGCAGCCAUUGGAUAAAAACAAUUAUUCCUCUCCCUCUAAUUAGGACUUUAUUUGUCUUUUAUUUUUGUUGUAUCAACCUAGAGGCAUGGAUAUGGGGUCAUGUUGUCAAUUUUUGAGGUUGUGGGGUGUUUAGUUUUGUUGUUUUGUCGGUCGCCGGGAUUCCAUCACUCUUUUAUAUAUAUAGACUACUACUACUACUACUACUACUAAUAAUAAUAAUAAUAAAUACCUCUAAUAUCCUAGGCCCUUGGGAAGAGCCCAAUAUUCAGACAUGAAGCCCAGACACUUGGACCUAAUGUGCAAGUGUGAAGUGAUGUUAUGUACAAAUAAAUCUUAUAAUAAUAAUAAUAAUAAUAAUAAUAAUAAUAAUAAUAAUAAUAACAAUAACAAUCCCCCAUACUAUGGAAGUAGUAGCAGUAAUAAGUAUGUGAAUGUCUGCCUGUAUUAAGGCAAGUACAUUUUUAGAAUAUCUCUGGCCGGUGUCAUCGUAGACCAUUUUCCACUCUGCAGCUGAUUGCUUGCCACCCACUCUUUUGCUGUCACCAAAGGCAUCCAGCCCCUUUUUAGCCAGCUCAGCCUUGAUCAGGAACUCCAUUGAAUAAAGAUGAGUUUAUGUUGAAAAAGGAAACAGCUGGAUUGCAAAAGCAAAAAAAGGAUUUGGGCAGCUCCAGUUUCAUUAGCGGAGGGAAACUUGAGGGCCUCAGAGGAGAACAACUGGGAGAGGAGCCAUGAAAUGAAUGGGGUUGGGGAGGGGCCCGGGCUGGUAGGAAACAGAAGAUCAUAAAGAACUAAUAAUGAAAAAUGGAAAGUGAGAAGGAGCCAAGAAAAACAAGCAAUAAAUAGACCGAAAACGGGGAAAGGAGGAAACCAAUGCGGAGUGAUGAAGCAGGAAGAGUAAAGGGCCCAAUGCAUGUGUUCUAUUAUACAAAAAAUAUGUAGCUUUCCAAAUUUGAGAUGCUGAUGGAAAACAUCUCAGCUUGACUGGGGAAUUUGGAUUUCAAUGUCACCCUCUGGUUAUGUGGAAUUGAUCGUGAUUUGUACUGGAUUUCUCUGGACUAAAGUCAACCCACUGAAUCAAAUUCAGGCAGGAUCUACACUGGUAUGCAAUGUAGUUCAAAGCAGAUAAUCUGGGUUCAGAAACUGCAUUAUAUGGCAGUGAAGAUGGGGCCUCAGAAUGGUAAAUGGGCAUGUAUGUAAAUUUUCUCAAUUCAGUGGGUUUAAUCUAUGUCCCUGUAUUUAGGUCUCUGUAUUUGGCUUACUUGUUUGGCUUUUAUGCUUAAGUUUAGAUUUUAUUCCUAUUGUAACUCCUGACUAGAGUAAACCACUGAAUAAACUGGAAUUAACUCUG